AACGAACGCUGGCGGCAUGCCUAACACGUGCAAGUCGAACGAGACCUUCGGGUCUAGUGGCGCACGGGUGCGUAACGCGUGGGAACCUGCCUUUAGGUUCGGAAUAACUCAGAGAAAUUUGAGCUAAUACCGGAUGAUGUCUUCGGACCAAAGAUUUAUCGCCUUUAGAUGGGCCCGCGUUGGAUUAGCUAGUUGGUGGGGUAAAGGCCUACCAAGGCGACGAUCCAUAGCUGGUCUGAGAGGAUGAUCAGCCACACUGGGACUGAGACACGGCCCAGACUCCUACGGGAAGCAGCAGUGGGGAAUAUUGGACAAUGGGCGAAAGCCUGAUCCAGCAAUGCCGCGUGAGUGAUGAAGGCCUUAGGGUUGUAAAGCUCUUUUACCCGAGAUGAUAAUGACAGUAUCGGGAGAAUAAGCUCCGGCUAACUCCGUG
rnacentral:rRNA from 1 species